GACGAACGCUGGCGGCGUGCUUAACACAUGCAAGUCGUACGGUAAGGCCCUUUCGGGGGUACACGAGUGGCGAACGGGUGAGUAACACGUGAGUAACCUGCCCACAACUUUGGGAUAACGCUAGGAAACUGGUGCUAAUACUGGAUAUGUGCUCCUGCUGCAUGGUGGGGGUUGGAAAGCUCCGGCGGUUGUGGAUGGACUCGCGGCCUAUCAGCUCGUUGGUGGGGUAGUGGCCUACCAAGGCGGCGACGGGUAGCCGGCCUGCGAGGGUGACCGGCCACAUUGGGACUGAGAGACGGCCCAGACUCCUACGGGAGGCAGCAGUGGGGAAUAUUGCACAAUGGGCGCAAGCCUGAUGCAGCAACGCCGCGUGCGGGAUGACGGCCUUCGGGUUGUAAACCGCUUUCAGCAGGGACGAAGCUUUUUGUGACGGUACCUGCAGAAGAAGCACCGGCUAACUACGUG
rnacentral:rRNA from 1 species